UACGUAGGGUGCAAGCGUUGUCCGGAAUUAUUGGGCGUAAAGAGCUCGUAGGCGGUUUGUCACGUCGGAUGUGAAAACUCGGGGCUCAACCCCGAGCCUGCAUUCGAUACGGGCAGACUUGAGUUCGGCAGGGGAGACUGGAAUUCCUGGUGUAGCGGUGAAAUGCGCAGAUAUCAGGAGGAACACCGGUGGCGAAGGCGGGUCUCUGGGCCGAUACUGACGCUGAGGAGCGAAAGCGUGGGGAGCGAACAGG
rnacentral:rRNA from 1 species